rnacentral:misc_RNA from 1 species
GAAUGAUCGAGCUGAAGCAUAAGUUCAGAAUUCCAGUCAGACUAUAGUUUGCUGCUUUACAGUCGUGAGUACAUUCUAACAUUAUUUUCAAAGAAAAUUUAUUGUCAUUCUUCAGACUUAUUUAUAGCAGUGUUAAAUGUCCUUAGCCAAGCAGAGAAUUAUCCGACAGAACCUGCACGAGCAAACAGCAAUAUAGCCAAAAUGUUCCCUCUCGCAUCAUUGUGCAAGUGAAGAAAAAUAUUCUUCUUUUUCUGACCCGAAAGAACUCAAGAACAAUGCUCCCGGCUCCAAUCUUUUUGCAUGUGGUACUGUUUUGGUACCUUAAAAUCUUCAAAGCAUCUAUCCAGAAUGACAAUCAAAUCCAACCUCUAAUCAAAUGCAUAUGGAUCAUCUGCAUAUGGAUUUAAUGAUCCUUCUGAAAACAAAUCGCCAAUGUUUGACGGAUGUGGACGACCUCCUCCCUUAAUUCCCUUAACAACACUUCUAGGAGUUAUGAUCUUCGGUGUAUUAAUCUUCUUGUGUUUCCUCGGGUCCUCAAACAUAACUGUACUUUUUGUCUUUCUUCGUUUGGUAAUUGUUCUUCCAUUCGCAGUUUCAACUUCAUAUUCACGGUGAGUUACCUUCUUGUGAUGCUUAGGGAUACUCAUUACACUUCCUGUGUUAGCAUUGUCUACUUUCUUCAAUAUUUUUGACACUGGUGUUUGUGUUCCACCCGGGAAAGGUAAAUCCGGAGCAGGCUGACUUCUUUUGCCACCACUGGCACCUCUCAUCUUGAUUGAUGAAAUGGAGUAAUCCUUUUUCGAAGUCACUUCUUGGUCACCUUGUGGCUUAUCGCUCAUCACUUUCCACUGCAAUUGCAGCAAAGCUCUUUGCCUGUCUUCCUGCAUUGUACCAUAAUCACACUAAAACCAACGUCUCAGUUCAUUUAAUUUGACAUAGCAUUUGAAAGAAAUGCACACUUUGGACUUCUGAAGAUCCAGUUCUUCUUGCAGCCUCCUGCACUCAUCUUCAUGCUCACACCUCAACGCUUUCAUUUGAACUUCAUGUUCAUUCUUGAGUUGCAUUGUUUUCUCUCUUAGUUCAUUUUCAGCUUGAAGCUGGGCACGCUUUAGCUCUUCAAUGUGAUCAGCUUUCAAACACAUUUCCUUUCUAUCAUGCUCCUGCUGAAUACGCAAGACUAGAGAAGCAUGUUCCUCCUGAAUGCGCACUAGCUGUUGCCUAGAUUCUUCUUUGCAUUCUGCAAGUGUUUGGUCACAUUUUGUUUGCAUUUCUUGUACAACUUUGUCUGCCUUUUCUUUCUCCAUGUUAACAAUCUCUAGCUUCUCCACUUCAUAGUUCUUCCUGAUGUCAUUAAUUGCCUUAUCAUUCCUCUGAGAUAUUUCUUUCAAAUGCCUUGAUAAUUCCAAUUGUUUACUCUCAAGCAUCAAAUCAUGUUGUCUCUUUGCUUCAGCAAGUUUGCUUUCAGCAGCAGUCAGCAACGCCUGACUCUCAGUGACUUGGUCUUCAAACUUCUUCUCUCUAUUCUUGUAUUGCAGAAGAAGUUGUUCCUUUGCCUCUAAGAUGCUAUGAAGUUGGGCGAUUUGUUUCUCCAGUGAAUCUACGUGUUGCUGUUGUUUCUCGCUCUCCUUUUGCCAAGAAGCUAUAUCUUCUGCAUUUUUCCUUUCUUCUGCCUCUAACUUCUGACAAAUAUCUUUGUUUUCCAUUUCUAAUGUUGAAAUUUUCAGCAAUAAAUCUUGCACUGUAUUCUCAGAUGAUCUUGAACUUUCUGACAAAGUACCAAUUGUCUCCUCCAAUUUGGAAACCAAAACUUCUGCUUCAUUCUUCUUCGACAACAGCAAUUCAGCUUCAGACUCUAAUAUUUGAAUUCUCUCUCCCGCUACACGGCAUUCCUCAGAAAGUUGUGCCAUAACAGUCUCUUGGGCUUUCUGAAGUUCAAUAAUCUUACUAUUCAAUUCCAGGUUUACCAGUAGCAAUGCAUCUUUUUCUGACAACAUACUCAAGAACUUAUCAUGCAGCUGAUCAUACUGUUUUUGAGCACACUUAGCAGCAAGGUCUUUCUCCAGUUGGACUAACUUAAAACAAGUGUUAUAGAGAGAGUUUAGCUUAUCAAACUUGUCCAUAAAAUUCAAAUUUUGUUUAUCCAAUUCAGCCAAUUGUGCAGCCAAUAUCUGAACAAAACUUUCAAGAUUUUUUAUCUCCUGAAGUGACAUAGCCAAUCUAUUAGCAAAGUCAUUGCUGCUAAAUUGGAGGACACUCUUUUCAUUUUCCAAGUUUUCCUGAGUAGUCAUAAAAUGUUUGAUUUCAUCUUCCUUCAGUCCCAACUCAAGGCGCAUCUCUUCCAAUUUAUAAUUCAGGUUCUCCGUGGCCAAUCUAUUAGCUGCUACAGUUGCCUCAAAUUUCUUUAACAUGGCAUCUUUUUCCUCUAUGAGAGUAGCAGUUUUGGACUUUUCCUCUUUGUAGAUCUUAUUCUUUUCCUCUUUUUCAAUUUUAAGCUCUUCCAGCUCCUGCUUCUGAGUUCUGAUAGUUUCUUCAGCAGAGUCUAAUUUCAGAGACAAUUCAUUCAUCUGUUGGUUCAAAUUUUCAAUAGCGUUUGAGCUUGUAGAUAGUUUGCCUUCAAAAAUCUCCUUAUCUUUUUCAGCACCCUGAACCUGACCGGCUAAGUGCUGCAAAGUUUCAGUCAGUUGAUCACAAAGAGUCUUAGUUGAAGAGAACUUAGACUCCAAUCCUUUCCAUAGCUUCUCAUCCUCCUUCUGCUUUACUUUAAGCUUAGCAUUUUCGUUGAAGGCAUAUUGCAACUUUUCCUCUAACGCACCAAUAUGCUCCAUUGAUUUCUUCAACUUAGAGUUCGCUAUUUCUAGAUCUGUUUUGACGGAAGCUUGCUCUUUGAUCAAUUUCUCUGCAGUGAGCUUCAAAUUGGCAAAACUCCCCGAUGAAAAUGAAUCGGAAGAUGACCUCGAAGAAAAUGAAAGGUUCUUCGCCGAUCCCGACACCGGCCCCGAUAGCGAUUUAAACUGAUCCAA